GUCCACGCUGUAAACGAUGGGCACUAGGUGCUCGGGGUAUUGACCCCCUGGGUGCCGUAGCUAACGCAUUAAGUGCCCCGCCUGGGGGACUACGGCCGCAAGGCUAAAACUCAAAGGAAUUGACGGGGGCCCGCACAAGCGGUGGAGCAUGUGGUUCAAUUCGACGCAACGCGAAGAACCUUACCUGGGCUAGACAACAGGAGACAAUCCCAGAAAUGGGCCUUUCCCUUCGGGGACUCCUGGUUCAGGUGCUGCAUGGCUGUCGU
rnacentral:rRNA from 1 species